rnacentral:rRNA from 1 species
AAUGACUGAGCGGCGAACGGGUGAGUAACGCGUGAGCAAUCUACCUUAGUUACUGGGAUAGCCCGAGGAAACUCGGAUUAAUACCGGAUAAUCUUAUUACAUCACAUGAAGUUUUAAGCAAAGGUCAGCCGAACUAAGAUGAGCUCGCGUUCUAUCAGCUUGUUGGUGGGGUAAAAGCCUACCAAGGCUACGACGGAUAGCUGGUCUGAGAGGACGAUCAGCCACACUGGGACUGAGACACGGCCCAGACUCCUACGGGAGGCUGCAGCAGGGAAUAUUGCGCAAUGAGCGAAAGCUUGACGCAGCGACACCGCGUGUGGGAUGAAGGUUCUAGGAUUGUAAACCACUUUCAGGAGGGAAGAAAAUGACGGUACCUCCACAAGAAGCCCCGGCCAACUACGUGCCAGCAGCCGCGGUAAUACGUAGGGGGCGAGCGUUGUCCGGAUUUAUUGGGCGUAAAGAGCUCGUAGGCGGUUCAACAAGUCGGUCGUGAAAGUUCAGGGCUCAACCCUGAAAUGUCGAUCGAUACUGUUGUGACUAGGAUAUGGUAGAGGUGAGUGGAAUUCCGAGUGUAGCGGUGAAAUGCGUAGAUAUUCGGAGGAACACCAAUUGCGAAGGCAGCUCACUGGGCCACUAUCGACGCUGAGGAGCGAAAGCUAGGGGAGCAAACAGGAUUAGAUACCCUGGUUAGUCCUAGCUGUAAACGAUGGAUACUAGAUGUAGGAAUUGGAUUGACGAUUUCUG